UGUGUGGCUAGCUGCGAGGACAGCGUGUUUUCUCUUUAUGUGAGGGGGCUGAACUCCACAGCUGGAAACGUUUGAAGCAGCCCGGAGAGCCAGGCGCGGGCAGCGGCGGCUGAGCAGUGCUAUCUGGGAUGAGCACAAAAGGAAAGAAAAUCAACAGUAUAAUUUGGAUGUAUUCAUAGGAAGAAACUUCUGCUCUGGAAGAGUCGUGCCCCUUCAGACACAGCAGUACCAGUGAUCAUGAGAUUUUCCAUCUUCAGGUUGAUCAACAUACAAAGUCCUCUUGACAAGCAGGUGAAAUAAAGGAUUUUAGUACAAGACUGACAAACACAUAAAGUUGGUCUGUCCCACUUUAUGUGGUGGAUUGACCUUGGUCAAGUGCCAAUACUUACACAGAUGCUUGUUUAUUCCCUGUUUCAUGUGAGAAGGGAAUAAGUGAGUGGCUGUGUGGGUGUUCAGGUGUUGUCUCAGGUUCACUCACUACAGUCCUCUCAGACCCAGUACAAAAGGCUUCCUCAUCUCAACGAGGUUUUGAUGCUUUCCGUGGUGACAGUGCAUAUCCUGGGUUGCCUAGUAUUGCUCUAACACGAGCAAAUAGAAACGUCACCAAAGUUUGAGCAGCCAGCAGAAGGUCCACCUCAUACUCAGGGAAAAAUCCAGAUACCUGAAAGGACACUUCCUCUUAACUAAGGCAGGUAAGGUUCAGAUGAAUUGUUACUUUGAAUCAUCUGUUUCCUUCUGAUGGGAACUUUGCCUCCCUAGCUCAGUGCUAAGUGGGGUAUUUCAGACACCCAAAGACAUGUGAGGUGAAGCCAAGUAACUACUUACACCUUUGUCUGAUUUGAAUUGCUCUUUUUUGCAUGCCUUUUAAAACCUCUUCAGUUGUGACAAUAGACACGCCCUGUAUUCUAGUUCCCCCUUAUCCCAGAAUUAAAGAUUAUCUCCUACUUUUGUUUUUAUAUCUUCAGUAUUUUUUCCUGUGUUCUGACACUAUUUUUAAUAAUACAUACCACUUUCUUCAGUAGCAGUUAUUACAUAUAUUAGCUGUAGCUGUACUGGUUCAGCUGUAGGUUGAGAAGGCCCAGCAAAAGAAAAAUGCUGAAAAUUCAUCUGUGACCUGAGCUAAAUUUUCUCAUGUUUCUAUGCUUACUUCCCCAUUUCAUAGCUAAUCACCAUAUGUAGCUCAAAGUAUUUCCACUCCUCUCCCUUUGCUAAUGAAAAGAAUAUUUUUUGUUGAGGAGCAGAAGGAAAACUUUCCUUACUUGUUUGUAAGGACAAGAUACCGAUACUGUCCCACUUCUGUCCAAAGAAAUGUAAUAAAAAUGGAUUUUUUGUUUGAGACAAUUGUUUUUUGUUUUGUUUGUACAAUUGUUUGUAACUUUUAGAGAAUUUAUUUUCAUUGGGGUUUUUUGGCA